UAAGCGGGAAGCCCCCUUCAAGAUUAGAUCUCACUGGGAACUAGAUUCCCCUAAAGGACCCUCGAAGACUACGAGGUUGAUAGGCGAGGUGUGUAAGCGUUGUAAGGCGUUGAGCUAACUCGUACUAAUUGUCCGUGAGGCUUGAUCAU
rnacentral:rRNA from 1 species